rnacentral:rRNA from 1 species
CCUACGGGAGGCUGCAGUGAGGAAUUUUGGUCAAUGGACGGAAGUCUGAACCAGCCAAGUCGCGUGAAGGAAGGCGGCCCUAAGGGUUGUAAACUUCUUUUGUAAGGGAAUAAAGUGCGUUACGUGUAGUGCAUUGCAAGUACCUUACGAAUAAGGAUCGGCUAACUCCGUGCCAGCAGCCGCGGUAAUACGGAGGAUCCGAGCGUUAUCCGGAUUUAUUGGGUUUAAAGGGUGCGCAGGCGGGGGAUUAGGUCGGCGGUGAAAUAUCAGGGCUCAACCUUGAGAGUGCCGUCGAAACCGGUUUUCUUGAGUGCGGAUGAAGUAGGCGGAAUUUGUGGUGUAGCGGUGAAAUGCGUAGAUAUCACAAAGAACACCGAUUGCGGAGGCAGCUUACUAAACCGCAACUGACGCUCAUGCACGAAGGCGUGGGGAUCAAACAGGAUUAGAUACCCCGGUAGUC